rnacentral:tRNA from 1 species
CCGACCUUAGCUCAGUUGGUAGAGCGGAGGACUGUAGUUUGCGUUUGAACUGAAAUCCUUAGGUCUCUGGUUCGAAUCCGGAAGGUCGGA